rnacentral:rRNA from 1 species
AACGAACGCUGGCGGCAGGCCUAACACAUGCAAGUCGAGCGCCCCGCAAGGGGAGCGGCGGACGGGUGAGUAACGCGUGGGAACGUACCCUUUGCUACGGAAUAGCCUCGGGAAACUGGGAGUAAUACCGUAUGUGCCCUUCGGGGAAAGAUUUAUCGGCAAAGGAUCGGCCCGCGUUGGAUUAGGUAGUUGGUGGGGUAAUGGCCCACCAAGCCGACGAUCCAUAGCUGGUUUGAGAGGAUGAUCAGCCACACUGGGACUGAGACACGGCCCAGACUCCUACGGGAGGCAGCAGUGGGGAAUCUUAGACAAUGGGCGCAAGCCUGAUCUAGCCAUGCCGCGUGAGCGAUGAAGGCCUUAGGGUUGUAAAGCUCUUUCAGUGGGGAAGAUAAUGACUGUACCCACAGAAGAAGCCCCGGCUAACUCCGUG